UACGGAGGGUGCGAGCGUUGUCCGGAAUCACUGGGCGUAAAGGGCGCGUAGGCGGCGCGGGCAGUCAACGGUGAAAGCUUGGGGCUCAACCCCGAGUCGGCCGUCGAUACUCCCGUGCUUGAGCACUGUAGAGGCAGGUGGAAUUCCGGGUGUAGCGGUGGAAUGCGUAGAGAUCCGGAGGAAGACCGGUGGCGAAGGCGGUCUGCUGGGCAGUUUCUGACACUGAUGCGCGACAGCGUGGGGAGCAAACAGG
rnacentral:rRNA from 1 species